GCGACAUCUAUUGGCGUGAUUCAGAACUAAUUUGCAAUAGAUGGCGCUUUUUGCUCAGUUAAUUGAAAUAUAUUUUGAUGAAACAUUUCCCAGGGUUUUUAUUUUGAUUAUUCUAUUUUUUAAUAGAAUAUUUUCAGUUUUCAGGAGAUUGUUUUCAUCAUGGUUUUUAUUAGUAUUUGCUUUUUUUAAUGGGCGGCGAAACGGAACGUCUCGCGACAUCUCUAUGAAUCGCGGCUGUCAGUUGAGCUGUCAAAUCACUUUGGAAUUUUGGUCGAUCUUGCGCAACCGCAAUUUUAUUAUUUUCGGGGAUGUAAUCCCCUGUGUUCAAAUCGUGGAAUGCAGAAUGCAUCCACGAUAAUUUCUUAAUAUAUUUUUAAAAUAAACACACAUGAGAAAUUCCCUAAAUCCUGUUCGGAUGAGGGUAUUGGGAUGCUGAAAACUGCGAGUGAGGUUUAAAUUAGCGAGCAGUUUUCAUGCGGGAUUUCA